GAUGAACGCUGGCGGCGUGCCUAAUACAUGCAAGUCGAGCGAACGGACGAGAAGCUUGCUUCUCUGAUGUUAGCGGCGGACGGGUGAGUAACACGUGGAUAACCUACCUAUAAGACUGGGAUAACUUCGGGAAACCGGAGCUAAUACCGGAUGAUAUUUUGAACCGCAUGGUUCAAAAGUGAAAGACGGUCUUGCUGUCUCUUUUAGCUGGAUCCGCGCUGCAUUAGCUAGUUGGUAAGGUAACGGCUUACCAAGGCAACGAUGCAUAGCCGACCUGAGAGGGUGAUCGGCCACACUGGAACUGAGACACGGUCCAGACUCCUACGGGAGGCAGCAGUAGGGAAUCUUCCGCAAAGGGCGAAAGCCUGACGGAGCAACGCCGCGUGAGUGAUGAAGGUCUUCGGAUCGUAAAACUCUGUUAUUAGGGAAGAACAUAUGUGUAAGUAACUGUGCACAUCUUGACGGUACCUAAUCAGAAAGCCACGGCUAACUACGUG
rnacentral:rRNA from 1 species